rnacentral:rRNA from 1 species
GACGAACGCUGGCGGCGUGCUUAACACAUGCAAGUCGAACGGAAAGGCCCUGCUUUUUUGGGGUGCUCGAGUGGCGAACGGGUGAGUAACGCGUGAGUAACCUGCCCUGGACUUUGGGAUAACUUCAGGAAACUGGGGCUAGUACCGGAUGGGAGCUCCUGCGGCAUGGUGGGGGUUGGAAAGUUUCGGCGGUUGGGGAUGGACUCGCGGCGUAUCAGCUUGUUGGUGGGGUAGUGGCUUACCAAGGCUUUGACGGGUAGCCGGCCUGAGAGGGUGACCGGCCACAUUGGGACUGAGAUACGGCCCAGACUCCUACGGGAGGCAGCAGUGGGGAAUAUUGCACAAUGGGCGGAAGCCUGAUGCAGCAACGCCGCGUGCGGGAUGACGGCCUUCGGGUUGUAAACCGCUUCCGCCUGUGACGAAGCGUGAGUGACGGUAAUGUGUAAAGAAGCACCGGCUAACUACGUG